rnacentral:rRNA from 1 species
CCUACGGGAGGCAGCAGUGGGGAAUAUUGCACAAUGGGGGGAACCCUGAUGCAGCGACGCCGCGUGGGUGAAGAAGUAUUUCGGUAUGUAAAGCUCUAUCAUCAGGGAAGAACAAUGACGGUACCUGACUAAGAAGCCCCGGCGAAAUACGUGCCAGCAGCCGCGGUAAUACGUAUGGUGCAAGCGUUAUCCGGAUUUACUGGGUGUAAAGGGAGCGCAGGCGGCGCGUUAAGCCUGGUGUGAAAGCCCGCGGCCCAACCGCGGGACUGCAUUGGGAACUGGCGCGCUGGAGUGCAGGAGAGGUAGGCGGAAUGCCUAGUGUAGCGGUGAAAUGCGUAGAUAUUAGGAGGAACACCAGUGGCGAAGGCGGCUUACUGGACGGUGACUGACGCUGAGGCUCGAAAGCGUGGGGAGCAAACAGGAUUAGAUACCCCAGUAGUC